UGUAGGCAUCUGGAAAAUGUGUCUUUAUUAAAAUUACAUUUAAAAACGAGUGAUAUUCAGGGUCAUGACUUUCUGAACCCAUCAGAGAGCUGAAUUGCAGGGCAAUUAAAUAGUUUAAAAUGAAGGAAAGAGAGGUGCCUCCUACAAUAACAGAGAUGGGCUGCAAACAUUGGAUGACCUGUGGCAGAGCACGGAAAGAAGGCAAGGAUGACAGCUACAUGCAGACAAGGUCUCCAGAUUUGCCACCCAUGCUGAGUGCCGUGGUGUGAUCAUGGCUUAUUUCAACCUCAACCUCCCCCACUCAAGCGAUCCUCCUGCCUCAGCCUCUGGAGUAGCUGGGACUACAGGCACGCACCACCACACCCAGCCAUAAUUUGCCUCUUGCUGUAACUAAAAGGUCACAAAAACAAAGAAUUCUAAAAAAUCUUCUUCUUAAGUGUGCCUCACUACCACAAAUUAUGCAGUCAAGUCUCCCAUAUUUGGGGACAUCGCAGGGGUCAGCAUGUCCAGAGUGCAAUGGAUAAGCCUUGCCCUGGGAAAACCACCUUCGUGAUCAUGGUUAUCUCCCCUGCCAGAAAGAGAUUUAAAAGAACACCUGAAGGGAAAUAAGAAGAGAAACAGAAUAUGAAGAGGAUUCAACCAAAUAGAGCCAAUGAAGGAGACAGAGCAACUUAAAUAAUAAGAGCAAUUUUAAAAAAUGGGACAAAAAGGAAAGGAUACUCAGUGCAUAGUUGAUGGCUUAAGAAAAUAAGAUUUUUUUAUAUUAUACUUUAAGUUCUAGGGUACAUGUACACAACA
rnacentral:lncRNA from 1 species